rnacentral:rRNA from 1 species
UGGGGAAUAUUGCACAAUGGGCGCAAGCCUGAUGCAGCCAUGCCGCGUGUGUGAAGAAGGCCUUCGGGUUGUAAGCACUUUCAGCGAGGAGGAAGGUGGUGAGCUUAAUACGCUCAUCAAUUGACGUUACUCGCAGAAGAAGCACCGGCUAACUCCGUGCCAGCAGCCGCGGUAAUACGGAGGGUGCAAGCGUUAAUCGGAAUUACUGGGCGUAAAGCGCACGCAGGCGGUUUGUUAAGUCGAUGUGAAAUCCCCGGGCUCAACCUGGGAACUGCAUUUGAAACUGGCAAGCUAGAGUCUCGUAGAGGGGGGUAGAAUUCCAGGUGUAGCGGUGAAAUGCGUAGAGAUCUGGAGGAAUACCGGUGGCGAAGGCGGCCCCCUGGACGAAGACUGACGCUCAGGUGCGAAAGCGUGGGGAGCAAACAGGAUUAGAUA